GACGAACGCUGGCGGCGUGCCUAAUACAUGCAAGUUGAGCGCUGAAGGUUGGUACUUGUACCAACUGGAUGAGCAGCGAACGGGUGAGUAACGCGUGGGGAAUCUGCCUUUGAGCGGGGGACAACAUUUGGAAACGAAUGCUAAUACCGCAUAAAAACUUUAAACACAAGUUUUAAGUUUGAAAGAUGCAAUUGCAUCACUCAAAGAUGAUCCCGCGUUGUAUUAGCUAGUUGGUGAGGUAAAGGCUCACCAAGGCGAUGAUACAUAGCCGACCUGAGAGGGUGAUCGGCCACAUUGGGACUGAGACACGGCCCAAACUCCUACGGGAGGCAGCAGUAGGGAAUCUUCGGCAAUGGACGAAAGUCUGACCGAGCAACGCCGCGUGAGUGAAGAAGGUUGUCGGAUCGUAAAACUCUGUUGGUAGAGAAGAACGUUGGUGAGAGUGGAAAGCUCAUCAAGUGACGGUAACUACCCAGAAAGGGACGGCUAACUACGUC
rnacentral:rRNA from 1 species